rnacentral:rRNA from 1 species
GACGAACGCUGGCGGCGUGCUUAACACAUGCAAGUCGAACGGAAAGGCCCUGCUUUUGUGGGGUGCUCGAGUGGCGAACGGGUGAGUAACACGUGAGUAACCUGCCCUUGACUUUGGGAUAACUUCAGGAAACUGGGGCUAAUACCGGAUAGGAGCUCCUGCUGCAUGGUGGGGGUUGGAAAGUUUCGGCGGUUGGGGAUGGACUCGCGGCUUAUCAGCUUGUUGGUGGGGUAGUGGCUUACCAAGGCUUUGACGGGUAGCCGGCCUGAGAGGGUGACCGGCCACAUUGGGACUGAGAUACGGCCCAGCCUCCUACGGGAGGCAGCGGUGGAGAAUAUUGCACAAUGGGCGGAAGCCUGAUGCAGCCACGCCGCGUGCGGUAUGACGGCCUUCGGGUUGUAAACCGCUUUCGCCUGUGACGAAGCGUGAGUGACGGUAAUGGGUAAAGAAGCACCGGCUAACUACGUG